rnacentral:rRNA from 1 species
ACGUACACUCCUGCGGGAGGCAGCAGUGGGGAAUAUUGGACAAUGGGCGCAAGCCUGAUCCAGCCAUGCCGCGUGAGUGAUGAAGGCCCUAGGGUUGUAAAGCUCUUUCACCGGUGAAGAUAAUGACGGUAACCGGAGAAGAAGCCCCGGCUAACUUCGUGCCAGCAGCCGCGGUAAUACGAAGGGGGCUAGCGUUGUUCGGAUUUACUGGGCGUAAAGCGCACGUAGGCGGACUAUUAAGUCAGGGGUGAAAUCCCGGGGCUCAACCCCGGAACUGCCUUUGAUACUGGUAGUCUUGAGUUCGAGGGAGGUGAGUGGAAUUCCGAGUGUAGAGGUGAAAGUCGUAGAUAUUCGGAGGAACACCAGUGGCGAAGGCGGCUCACUGGCUCGAUACUGACGCUGAGGUGCGAAAGCGUGGGGAGCAAACAGGAUUAGAAACCCCAGUAGUCCC